UACGUAGGGUGCAAGCGUUGUCUGGAAUUAUUGGGCGUAAAGAGCUCGUAGGCGGUUUGUUGCGUCGGCUGUGAAAUCCCGAGGCUCAACCUCGGGUCUGCAGUCGAUACGAGCAAACUAGAGUGUUGCAGGGGAGACUGGAAUUCCUGGUGUAGCGGUGAAAUGCGCAGAUAUCAGGAGGAACACCGGUGGCGAAGGCGGGUCUCUGGGCCACUACUGACGCUGAGAAGCGAAAGCAUGGGGAGCGAACAGG
rnacentral:rRNA from 1 species